UACGUAGGGUGCAAGCGUUGUCCGGAAUUAUUGGGCGUAAAGAGCUCGUAGGCGGUCUGUCGCGUCGGCUGUGAAAACCCGAGGCUCAACCUCGGGCCUGCAGUCGAUACGGGCAAACUAGAGUACUGCAGGGGAGACUGGAAUUCCUGGUGUAGCGGUGAAAUGCGCAGAUAUCAGGAGGAACACCGGUGGCGAAGGCGGGUCUCUGGGCCGAAAUUGACGCUGAGGAGCGAAAGCGUGGGGAGCAAACAGG
rnacentral:rRNA from 1 species